AGUGAACGCUGGCGGUAGGCCUAACACAUGCAAGUCGAACGGCAGCACAGUAAGAGCUUGCUCUUACGGGUUGCGAGUGGCGGACGGGUGAGGAAUACAUCGGAAUCUACUUUUUCGUGGGGGAUAACGUAGGGAAACUUACGCUAAUACCGCAUACGACCUACGGGUGAAAGCAGUGGAUCUUCUGACCUUGCGCGAUUGAAUGAGCCGAUGUCGGAUUAGCUAGUUGGCGGGGUAAAGGCCCACCAAGGCGACGGUCCGUAGCUGGUCUGAGAGGAUGAUCAGCCACACUGGAACUGAGACACGGUCCAGACUCCUACGGGAGGCAGCAGUGGGGAAUAUUGGACAAAGGGCGCAAGCCUGAUCCAGCCAUACCGCGUGGGUGAAGAAGGCCUUCGGGUUGUAAAGCCAUUUUGUUGGGAAAGAAAAGCAGCAGGUUAAUACCCCGCUGUUCUGACGGUACCCAAAGAAUAAGCACCGGCUAACUUCGUG
rnacentral:rRNA from 1 species